GGUCUCUUAAACCUCCUCGGCCUAAGACUGUAGGUAAAUAAUGGAUCAAAGUCUCUGAGCCCCGUCCUGGAUUACCCAGGCGACCUAGCAAGCCCAGGCAGUACCACAAAAACCCCAUCCUCCCGGAAUGGUGGUGGUGCCCAGCUUCUGAAAUUGAGGUGACAGAUGAGGGGUGGAAAUUUAACGAGCCCCUCACACGUCCUACCGAGGGGGAGAGACGUACGCCGACGUGCUCCGAAGGAGUAUUCUCCAACCAUCCCAACCGGCAGACAUCAGUGAGCUUUCUUCCACUUCCCCCGGGAAAAGAGCAUCAGUGACUUCGUCCUCACACAACAACUCCAGCAUUGUUGACCAUGAGGUACCUAGAGCCGACCGUAGCAACCACUUUCAGCCAUUGCGGAGCACCAUCCCCUAGGUAGCUAGUUUAGGCGGGCGUCCCACCCCAAAGAGUCUUACCCUUGUCCAAAGCAUAUGUAAGAACCCGGAACUGGGCCCGGUCCACUCGACCGGCCCAGUCAGCGGGAUGGAUCCUCCAUCCGGAAGAAGAAGGAGGAGCCCUGCUUUAGGGCUUCCUUCUCCUUCCUCUCCUCCUUUGAGCCCACCGAAAGAGAGAGCCGCCGCACGCAGGGGGGGUUCUUCUUCGUGUGGCCACCGAGAGAGAGGGAGAGGGAGAGAGAGAGAGAGAGAGAGAGAGAGAGAGAGAGAGAGAGGAGCCACGGCACCGGAUGGUCUUCUUCUUCCUUGCCGUCGGAGAAGAGAGGCGCCGGAUCUUCAUCGGGGCUAAGAUUUCGAGAACUAGUUUAUUGGAGAUUCAAAAUGGAAGAGCGACUAGAAGGAUUUGUGGCACAAGUUAUCUUAGAUUAGGGUUAUUUAAGUUGAUUUGUUAUUAUGGACAUUUGUUAUGAUUGGUGGACUUUUGUUAGUUUAAGGACUAGGUUUCUGCAUGUUGGUAAAUGAUUAUUCCGCUGCGUAUUUAGACUUGUGAGUCAUUAUGACUUGAGUUAGUCAAUGAAAUAAGAUUGCAUUUAUUCUGUUCAA